ACAAUGGUCCCCUAAGCCUUCAUGUGAAGUUUCGUUGCAAGAUGACUCGUUUUCUAUUUUUCACGAUUUUUGAAACUUUUUACGGUUCGAGAUUUUUUAAAAUUUUUUUAGAAGGAGUUUUGGCCCCAAAUUUGGUACACGUGAUCCUUCUAUUUUUUUUGGCAUGCACAAAAAUAUUCAGCUAAAAACUCGAAGUGGAGAAGAUUUCGCUGACGUUUGAAAAAAGUGUCCCCGUUUCAGACACUUCAAACGGCUACUGGCAGCAAACCUGUAAAAUCUCAAACGCUCUUUAAGGGGGUGUGAGUUCUCAGAGGUUUGAUGAGGGAUAGGGGGGCCAACACAAGGGCCAAGUACCAGCACCCAUCGCACGUCAUGUGCGCACACCCCCCGGCCCCCUCCAAUCGCCGGAACCCCAAUGCCGCCGGUCAGGUUCUCCGGCGGUACUCCGGCGAUGCUCCGGCGAUGCUGACCCGAGUGAAAAAAAAGCGGCACCAGCACAUGCUGGAGCCAAGCAUGGGCACCGUGGCUCAAAAUCGAACUUCGGCCAAGGCCUCGACCAUCAAUGGCACAUGAUGACGCAUGGUGAUGGCACAUGCAUCGACCAUCAUCGGCACAGGCUGCCCUUCGGUACGGGCACUUGCCUCAACCACCAUUGGCACCAGCUGGGCCCUGGUGUGAGUUUUUACCGUGAUCACCAUCGGCACAAACUGAGCCUUGGUGAGGGCAGUUGCCUCGACCACCAUCGGCACACCCUGGGCCCUGGUGCGAGCGGUUGCCCCAAUAACCAUCAGCACACGCUGAGCCCUGGUGCGGGCGGUUGCCUCAAGCACCAUCCGCACACGCUGGGCCCUAUUAUGGCGCUUGCCUCGACCACCAUCGACACACACUCGACCCUGGUGCGGGCACUUGCCUCGACCACUAUUGGCACACGCUCGGCCCUGGUGCGGGCACUUGCCUCGAUCACUAUCGGCACACGCUAGGCCCUGGUGCGGGCGCUUGCCUUGACCACCAUUGACACACACUGGGCCCUAGUACGGGCGGUUGCCUCGACCACCAUCGGCAUAGGCUGGGCCCUGGUGCGGGCACUUGCCUCGACCACCAUCGACACACACUGGGCCUGGUGCCGGCGGUUGCCACGAUCACCAUCGGCACACACUGGGCCCUGUUACGGACGGUUGCCUCGAGCACCAUCGGCACAUGCUCGACCCUGGUACGGGCCCUUGCCUCGACCACCAUCGGCACACGCUCGACCAUGGUGUGGGCGCUUACCUCGACCACCAUCGGCACACGCUGGGCCCUGGUGUGGACGGUUACUGCGAUCACCAUCGACACAUGCUGGGCCCUAGUACGGGCGGUUGCCCCUAGCACCAUUGGCACACGCUGGGCCCUGGUGCGGGCGGUUACCUCGAUCACCAUCGACACACGUUGGGCCCUGGUGAGGCCAGUUGCCUCGACCACCAUCGGCACACGCUAGGCCCUGGUGCGGGCGGUUACCUCGACAACCAUCUGGCACACGCUGGGCCCUAGUGCGGGCGGUUGCCUCGACCACUAUCGACACACGCUGGACCCUGGUAUGAGUGGUUGCCCCGAACACCAUCGGCAAACGCUGGCCCCUGGUACGGGUGGUUGCCUCGAUCACCAUCGACACAAGUCGACCCUUGGUACGGGCUCUUGCCUCGACCACCAUCGGCACACGCUGGGCCCUGGUGCAGAUAGUUGCCUCGACCACCAUCGACACACGUUGGGCCCUGGUGUGGGGGGUUGCCUCGACCACCAUCGACAAACGCUCGACCCUGGUGCGGGCGCUUGCCUCGAUCACCAUCGCCACACGCUGGACCCUGGUGCGGGCACUUGCCUCAACCACCAUCGGCACACGCUGGGCCUGGUGCGGGCGGUUGCCGUGAUCACCAUCGGCACACACUGGGCCCUGGUCCGGACGGUUGCCCCCAGCACCAUUGACACACGUUGGGCCCUAGUGCGGGCGGUUGCCUCACCACCAUCGGCACACGCUAGGCCCUGGUACGGGCGGUUGCCUUAAGCACCAUCGGCACACGCUGGGCCCUGUUGCGGGCGGUUGCCUCGAGCACCGUUGGCACACGCUCGACCCUGGUGCGAGCUCCUACCUCGACCACCAUCGGCCACACGCUGGGCCCUGGUGCGGGCGGUUGCCUCGAACACCAUCGGCACACGCCGGCCCUUGGUGCGGCCGGUUGCCUCGACCACCAUCGGCACACGCUCGGCCUUGGUGAGGGCGCUUGCCUCGACCACCAUCGGCACACGCUGGGCCCUGGUGCGGGCGCUUGCCUCGACCACCAUCGGCACACGCUCGGCCUUGGGUGCGGGCGCUUGCCUCGACCACCAUCGGCACACGCUGGGCCCUGGUGCGGGCGGUUGCCUCGACCACCAUCGGCACACGCUCGGCCUUGGUGAGGGCGCUUGCCUCGACCACCAUCGGCACACGCUGGCCCUGGUGCGGGCGCUUGCCUCGACCACCAUCGGC
rnacentral:lncRNA from 1 species